CACUGCUGAGCAGGGGUCUCCACCAUGGCCUGGGCUCCUCUCUUGCUCACACUGCUGGCUCACUGCACAGGGUCCUGGGCCCAGUCGGUGGUGACUCAGCCAUCUGAAGUGUCCAAGCCUGUGAAUAAGACUGUUACCACCUCUUGUACCAGAAGCAGCAGCAAUGUUGGGGCUGGAGGUGUGUCCUGGUACCAGCAGCUCCCAGGCAGUGUCCCCAACGUUGUCAUCUAUGGUAGCAGUGCUUGGCCUGCGGGGGUCCCGUCCAGAUUCUCAGGGUCCAGUUCAGGGGACGUGGCCUCUGUGAGCAUCUCUAGCCUCUAGGCUGAGGAUGAGGCUGAUUAUUACUGCUCAG